AGCCGCGGGACGGCGGUUGGUUCGUCUUCUCUUCUCCGGGGGUUUCGGCUGCACCGGACUCAGGAGAUUGCAGGGAAAUGAAUUCAGAAGAGAGUCGUGAAGUCGCUCCGAUCCAGACUGAGGGGGACUGUGUGAACCUUGGAAGUUAUAAACAUCACUGCUGUCAUCAUUUUUUUGCUGUUUCUGCGCCCACCUCUACUUCUUUCAACCGCCUGUGCUGAAGGUUGAAAUUCUAUUUAAGAUUUUCCAGUCUCCACUCGAUCUAAGUGAGGGUCACCUCUCAUUGUGAGAUUAGAGGCUCUGAGACAUGGCCUCACAGUGUGGUUUCUACAGGAUAUCUCUGCCUCAAUGUUUCUUGCUGGGGACAUGCGCAGGCAUGAAGGAGCCAGAAUGGGACUCUGUCUCAGCUGCAGUGGAACACUGUAACAAUUACACUCAAUAUUCGUAGGUACGUUACUCCAGGUUCCUGCUCACUACCGUACUCAGUCAGCCUGCUGGAAGGUGAAUCUGAGUGGGAGUGAAAGGGGACUGUGCCUCUCAGCUGAGAGGGAAUCCUCUGCCAAUAACAUCCACCCUCUGGGUUCACUCAGUGACAGCUCUGUUUUGGAUAUUCCUGGGUUUGUCUUUUCCUGGAGUCGGGCUCCACAAUCGAGCAGCUCCAGGGAGAGAGAAAUAAAUGAUAAGCUUGUGAAUGGAACAGUGAGCACAAAACCUUGGGUUCCUGGUAACUACACAAACCAAUGUGUCCACAGGAGUAAGUUGCAGGACUCUAUUGGGAGCUAUUUCUCACUGAGUGACAGAAUUUUCCUACACUUUGUUAGAAUGAUCUCCUCACUGUGUUGCAUUAUAUUGAAUUAUUUCCGGUAUUGCUUUUUCUUUUGAAGAGACCAUUCUAUCAGUGAUUGUAUAGUGACUGGAAAUGGCAGAAUGGAAGCAUGUAUGAGAACCAAAUAUUAAAACAAAACCUUCUGAUCACA